CAAUUUAAAAUCUGGCGGUCUUUGGCCGUCCGAGUUGUAGUCUGGAGAAGUGCUUUCCGCGCUGGACCGUGUACAAGUCUCUUGGAACAGAGCGUCAUAGAGGGUGAGAAUCCCGUCUUUGACAUGGACUACCAGUGCUUUGUGAUGCGCUCUCAAAGAGUCGAGUUGUUUGGGAAUGCAGCUCAAAAUGGGUGGUGAAUUCCAUCUAAAGCUAAAUAUUGGCGAGAGACCGAUAGCGAACAAGUACCGUGAGGGAAAGAUGAAAAGCACUUUGGAAAGAGAGUUAAACAGUACGUGAAAUUGCUGAAAGGGAAACGCUUGAAGUCAGUCGCGUUGUCCGGAACUCAGCCUUGCUUCGGCUUGGUGCAUUUUCCGGGCGACGGGCCAGCAUCGAUUUUGACCGUCGGAAAAGGGCUGAGGGAAUGUGGCACCUUCGGGUGUGUUAUA
rnacentral:rRNA from 1 species